UACGGGGGGAGCAAGCGUUGUUCGGAUUUACUGGGCGUAAAGCGCGCGUAGGCGGCUUUGUAAGUUAGAGGUGAAAGCCCAGGGCUCAACCCUGGAAUUGCCUUUAAGACUGCAUCGCUUGAACAUCGGAGAGGUAAGUGGAAUUCCGAGUGUAGAGGUGAAAUUCGUAGAUAUUCGGAAGAACACCAGUGGCGAAGGCGACUUACUGGACGAUUGUUGACGCUGAGGUGCGAAAGCGUGGGGAGCAAACAGG
rnacentral:rRNA from 1 species